AUGGUCCAGCGUUUCAUAUACCGACGUAGGCUUUUCUACAAUACAGCCUCUAACAAAACUAGGCUGUCCCAGACCCCUGUAAUAGAAUUGUUUACCUUUAUACCAAGAACGAUGGGAAAGCACCAAAAUCAGCAUGUGGUGUAUGCCCAGGCAGGCGUCAAGGGGUUCAUGCUGUAAGACCUUAAGUUCUUAUGAGAUUGUCCAAAACAAAGAAACAUGUCAGCAGGGCCUAUGGUGGUUUCAUGUGUGCUAAAUGUGUUCAUGACAGGAUCAAGUGUGCUUUCCUUAUCGAGGAGCAGAAAAUCAUUGUGAAAGUGUUGAAGGCGCAAGCACGGAGUCAGAAAGCUAAAUAAAAAAUGAAACUUUUUUGAGUAAUAAAAAUGAAAA